GGUUAGCAUGCGAUAAUGAGAAAAGCAAGCAUUCCUCCCUGAGAUUUCCUCUCUCAAAAGUUAUGUCUUGUGCCAACAAGCCAGCAACUCGACUCUCAUAUCUCAUGCACCGUCUGAUGAUUGCGCCCCAAUCCAAUGGUGGUAGCCUAGAAGCAUGUGAGAGACACCGCAGAACACUAGAAACUGUGUUUACAUGUGAGACAUCACCUGUCCCAAGAUAGUUCAGAUGCAUUAGCCACAUAGACAAUUUCAUGACCGUGCUGUCCUCAGGAAAAUUUUGUGAGACGGUCUUCGAACCAACAGAAUCAUUCUCUGAGGUACUUUCAUCAUUUUGAAGAUCUUUGACCCACAAAUAAUGUCUAAGAAAUGAGAUUGCCCAUGCUGCAUGCUGCUGUAACUGAUGAGCAUCAGAAUUUUGCGCAACUAGGAACAUCUCUUGCACAAGUGAUGUUAAAUCAGGCUCGAGAACAUCAUUUGUAAUUAAAGGACCAGAUAUAUAAGAAGCUUCCUUCUGAUCAGAAGAAGAAUGUGAUGAACUCAAAGGGUGGGGUUCAAUCAGUGUCCCUGCACCUGCUCCUAAUGCAUUUACAACUCCAAGCAUGGCACCGAGAUAAAUUAGUGGAGGAUUGGAGUCUGCGUAACUUUUUCUGAACAGUGCAAGCAAUUCUUUAAUGUGUUCAAUUUUCAAAGAGUGCGACCCUUCAUUCAAAACCACACCAACAAGACUUCCUGCUCCCAAACAAGAUGCCAUCAAUAAGCUCUGGUGGAAGGUGUCAAAUCUUUUAAUAGAGAGUAGCUCAGAGAUUAGUUCCUUAUAGCAACUCAAAAGAUGUUCCAGCUCUGCAUCAUCAAUAAGUUCAAACCUCUGACAUGUGGCCAUUACAGUAGGUACAGCAAGACACGAGCCCACAAAUAAUAAAAUUUCAUGAUCUUUGCUCAUAGUUGUAACUUCAGAAGGGUGUGGAAUCCAUGAAAUAAGUAACGCUUUCACAUUAAGAACUGCAUCAUACAUCCCAGCUCUGUACAUUGCACCAACACAAUUACCCAAACCCAAUACAAGCCCUGCAACGCCCCACACAUCUUCCUCUAAAUUCUCACUCAUCGAGCCAAGAAAUUCACCAGCAAAAUUUGAAUUCAAAUUAUCUGAUCGAAGUGGAAAAGAUACUGAAAGAGUUUCAAGAACAUCAGCCGAAGAAGGUGUGAAUUGAGAGAUCAUCUGGGAUAAGGUUCUGAUGAUCUUUCUCAACAAUUCUGCUUCCUCUAUCUUGUGUGUCUCUUUGCCCGGGUGAGCAGCAG
rnacentral:misc_RNA from 1 species